rnacentral:rRNA from 1 species
UACGUAGGGACCAAGCGUUGUUCGGAUUUACUGGGCGUAAAGGGCGCGUAGGCGGCAAUUCAAGUCAUCUGUGAAAUCUCCGGGCUUAACUCGGAACGGUCAGGUGAUACUGCUUUGCUAGAGUGCAGAAGGGGCAAUCGGAAUUCUUGGUGUAGCGGUGAAAUGCGUAGAUAUCAAGAGGAACACCUGAGGUGAAGACGGGUUGCUGGGCUGACACUGACGUGAGGCGCGAAAGCUAGGGGAGCAAACGGG